AUUGAACGCUGGCGGCAGGCCUAACACAUGCAAGUCGGGCGCGCGGCGGACGGGUGAGUAAUGUAUGGGGAUCUGCCUGAUGGCGCGGGAUAACUACUGGCAACGGUAGCUAAUACCGCAUACCCUCAGAUGAACCCAUAUGGGAUUAGCUAGUAGGUACGGUAACGGCUUACCUAGGCGACGAUCCCUAGCUGGUCUGAGAGGAUGAUCAGCCACACUGGGACUGAGAAACGGCCCAGACUCCAACGGGAGGAAGCGUUGGGGAAUAUUGCACAAUGGGCGCAAGCCUGGUGCAGCCAUGCCGCGUGAAUGAAGAAGGGCUGCGGGUUGUAAAGGACAUUCAGUCAGGAGGCGGUACCGACAGAAGAAGCCCCGGCUAACUCCGUGCCAGCCGCCGCGGUAAUAC
rnacentral:rRNA from 1 species